UUUCUUCGCCCAAUAUUUUUUUAAUAUUCAAAACAAUUCUCCGUAAAGUUUCAAGACAUUUGGAGUUGUGCAGAAUAGGUAUCUCAAAUUUGCUCCUUUCCGGUCCAGAAUUCCAGCUGCCAGCAUUCUCCCUGUAAAAUAAGAGAGAAAAGACAUAAGUAUUGUACCAUAAUGUGAAAUAACAGCCCAUAAUGCAAUAAAUAUCAACAUAAAAACGUGAUGCAAAAUGGAUGUAUCAAACAUUGACUAUCUCAACACAACGAGAGGUAAUUUAGUAACAUGAAGAUUUCUAAAACCAUAUUUUCCUCUCUCAUACAAUUACAUGUAGGAUCAUAAUCAAAUUCAACAAUAUAGCUAUCAUAUAAAAUUUUCUCUUCAUGAUCCACAUGCAUAAAAGUCUUAUAAUCUUCUAAGAUAGUGGAAUUAACAUCAACUAAAGUCAUGACCUCUCCGAACCCACUUUUAUCAAAAAAAAUCAUGAGAUUGAACACUCUCCAAAUACAUGGGAUUAUUUUUACCUAAAGUUGACGCUCUUUCAAACCCACUUUCAAUAUUAUUGCAAACAUUAUUAUCACUAACAUAUUCAUCAUGGGGCUUAAAUAAAUUUUCAAGAUCAUAAGAAGAAUCACCCAAAUCAUGAUCAUUGCAACAAGUAGUGGACAUAGCAAAAUUAGCAUCCCCAAGCUUAGGGUUUUGCAUAUUAUUAGCACAAUUGACAUUGAUAGAGAUUGUAGUGACAUCAUUGCAAUCAUGCUUUUCAUUCAAGGAGCUAUCAUGAAUCACUUUAUAAAUUUCUUCUUUUAACACUUCAUCAAAAUAUUCAGAAUCACGAAUCUCAAGCAAAACUUCAUAAAGCUAAUCUAGUGAACUUAAUUCACUAGCAAUUGGUUCAUCAUAAUUGGAUUUUUUAAAAAUAUUAGUAAGUGGAUGAGGAUCCAUAAGCUUUUUGUUUCUGAUUUCGAAUUAACAUACAAUUAUGCCAAACAAACAAGCAAAGCAACAAAGUAAAACAUUUUUGUGUUUUUCGAUAAGAGAAAGGCCUAGCCUAUCAAAGACUAGCAUCUUGCAGCAUCAGAAGAGAUAAGAGUAACAACAUAAGUAAUAAGUAUGUUCAGUAUCAACGCCCAGAGAUCCUUCCUCGAAUCCCUGUGAGAAAGCAAUCCUGGAGCCAUCAUAUCCAUUUCACAUCUCCAGUAUCUAGUUCUAAUUGUAUCGAUCGGGAUACAACUCCGAGUGUCCGUUACCGUGGACACAGCUAUUCGAAUAGUUAUACUUCGCUGUAGGGGUGCACCAACUUACCCAACACGUUCGAUUAACUCCUGCCAGACACACGAUCAGGUCAUGACCGGCCUUAGCUGAUCGACACACCGUAGUCCUACCUAGGCACAACAGAGAGGCCAGCACGCCGGUCUACAUCCUAAGCACGCAGGGGUCUUGCACCAUCGCCCUUUGCACUCCUGGAUGUUGCGUGUGGCCCGGAGCAGACCCACUCCCUAAUACAAGCGCAGGUGGUCCCCGUCCAACCGGGCGCGCGCCGCCCAAUCGCUGACGUCCGAAGAGCUUUCGGAGGAUCGUACGACCCCGAGUGCCCAUACUUAUUCCCGCGUGGUGGUUAGUGAUAAAAAGGCCAGAGACAUACUCGGAUCACAUAUCCAAACUGCUAGUGUCUUAGGAGCGCGCAGAGACGAUCAAUGAUCCACGAUCUGUGGUCCCGUCACCCCGUCUCACAGACUUACGACAAGGGCUAAGAAUGCCCGGCCAUGCCGCGUAAUUAUCUCGUAGGUACCCUCCAGGUCAACCCGACUCCACAUCACUCGCGGGUACCCUAACGGUCAACCCGACUCACCAGAGACUGUUGGGAACUCAGGUCCACCUCUACCGGGGUGGUACCGCAUGUCCCUCCAGUCUCGCAGAAAUGGUAACUCUUGCGGGUACCCCUCGGGGCCGACCUGACUUCAUCAUGGUUCUGGGUAAACUCAUAGUAACCGUGUGUCCAAAACAGCAAGGGGAAACCCGAGGAAUCACCCUCGAUGGAUUCCCACUCGAUGUAACAGUCAAGGUGAACUUGGAGGAAUCACCCUCGAGGUUCACACUUGAGGUGUUGCACGACAGAGUCGUUAUCGGGAGUGGUGAAGGAGGAAUCACCCUCCGUAGACCACGACCGAUUAACUACACUACAGAGAUCUCAUCAGAAGUGCUAUACGAGGUAUCACUCUUGCACUUGAUAGUAGCUCUACAGAGUCGUACAACUAAGGGGGUGUGAGGUGAUGUGUCGGGCUCAGGACGUCGAUCACGUUGAUCGAGUCAUCGGUCAUAAAGCGGGGGCAACAGUGACAGGGUGAGGGGUCACUGGUGGAUCACCAACCAACCUAUACUAAUCAUAUAGGAUAAGCAGGUAGGUAACAAUAGCAGGUUACAAAAUCUGGCUACGGAUCAGAAUAGGAGCAAUCAAUUAAAGUAGCAAAGUCUAAUGCAAGCAUGAGAGAGAAUGGAAUGGGCGAUAUAGGAAUGAUCAAGGGGGUUUUGCUUGCCUGGAAGCUCUGCAGACAGACUCGGACCCUCGACGGUGAAGUAGUCGAUCUCCAGAUCAACAGCGGUCUCGGGGUCUACCAAAGAAGGAGGGGGAAGAAAUAAUAAAUAACAGGCACACAAACCCAACAGAAAACAUGACACGGUCGUAUGCUAUGCUAGGGGUGACCUAACGCAGUGCUAAGUGUUACACACGGAGCGGGAAAAUAUUCGGGAAUAAUUUCCCUGCUCCAAGCAUUUAUCGAUCAAACGAUCCGGAGGGGCCGGUUCCAUGUUUUCAGUGUUAGAGACAUGUGACAUGUAUGUGGAUAGCAUAUUCGGAUUCGUCAUAUUUUUUUGAUCAUUUUCAAAUAUAAAUUAUUUUCAUCCAAAUUACGGUUUAUUUUCUAUUAAUUUUCAAAGUUUUAAUCAUUUUACGAAUUUUUGGAUUUAAUUUAAUUCGAAAUUAUAUUAAAUAUAAUACUAUGGGUCCACAGUAAAUGUACCCAGAUGUGUGCCUUAGUGACUCACAGUAGACCCAGUUAACCAGCCAGCCCUAUCCAUCUAAACGGUACCAAGGCCCCACUUGUCAUUGACUGCGGGUUUUACAGAGGGUUAAUUUUAAAACGGGGUUAAUUAGAGGUGUUGGCCCGAUGUGUCAAUGGGUUUGGGGGUGAUAGGUGCCCAGGUUAGUGGUCUGACGGCCCACCUGGCAGUGGCCCAUGGCGGCAGCGCACCGGCAGCAUGGCUCCGGCGACCAUAAACGCGGUGGCGCGACACGGGAGCUCCCCGGUUUUUCUACGGUGGCUCAUCGGGCGUGGCUAGGUGCUACGGGAUCCCGUUGCUCGCGCGCAUUCGAUGGUGGCGGUGGUUGGCGUCGAGGUGGCCGGAGGUGGCAUCGGCGAUGAGCCCGAGCAACGGCGAGAGUUGGGCGUCCAACAAAAUGAGCAUAGCGGCUCGGUUUCGACGAGCUAGCUGGCUGGAAGGCUCCUACGAGAGGCCACGAGCGCGCUGGCGUGCUCGGUUGAGCUGGAGAAGCACGGCAGCAGUGGCACAACAAGCAGCGGCGGCGGCCUACUACGGCGGUCAUGACGACAGCAGCUAGGGGCGGAGGAACGAGGCGGAAACAGAGGUGAAGGAGGCGAAUCUCACCAGGGAGCACAAGGGUGGCUUGUUGGCGGCUUAGGAGCUGCAGGCCGACCGGAAUCGAGGGAGCUCGCCGGCGGAGCAGAGGAAGAAGACGGGGACGCGGAGGUCGUUGUGGUGGCUCCAGGAUCCAAUGGAUGGCACCAGGCGACGGUGUGGUCGAAGAGAAGCGGAUGGGCAGGGAGACGCGGCGCGGUGAGGCCAGUGGCCGCGGGAUCGGC
rnacentral:lncRNA from 1 species